rnacentral:rRNA from 1 species
UACCAGCACCCCGAGUGGUCGGGGCGAUUAUUGGGCCUAAAGCAUCCGUAGCCGGCCUUACAAGUCCUCCGUUAAAUCCAGCUGCUUAACAGAUGGGCUGCGGAGGAUACUAUAAGACUAGGAAGCAGGAGAGGCAAGCGGUACUCAGUGGGUAGGGGUAAAAUCCGUUGAUCCAUUGAAGACCACCAGUGGCGAAGGCGGCUUGCCAGAAUGCGCUCGACGGUGAGGGAUGAAAGCUGGGGGAGCAAACCGG